UAACUGUCGUGAAAACACAUCGACGCAGAAAGCCGCGAGCAGGACGCUAAUAAGUCAGCCUUAUUAUUUGUUCUCCAGUUUGAAAUAUUUACGUUGUAUAAAAUACAUCUUUGAUUCUUUAGUUAAGGAUAAAGUCGUCUCGAUGCGCUAGAAGCACUGUGCCGCUUCUCGGGCUAUCUUUGCUUCUUAGUUAGCUUAGCUCGCUAGUUAGCUGCUAACAGAAGACAGAAGUUAUGAAUACAUCGCUAAGUAGAGAUCAAGUGUGAGAGUAAAGUGUUGUGAUUGUGUGAACAUUUCUACAUUACAAAUGUUGAGAGCGUUGGUGGAUCAGCGACUAACUGCUGCCGUUGAAGAAAUAUUUGUAGUGUUAGAAAGAACGAUAGCAGAAUACGAGGCGGAACUUUCUAGAAGAAAAGAGGAUUACAAUCAACUACUGGACGCUGUUGUCAAGAAACAUCAAGUUGUGUUACACAGAACAGACCUCGAUGAAGAACCUCUUCCUCAUGAGCAGAAGGAGGAAUCACAGUCCCCCCACAUACAUGAAGAAGAAGAUGUACCACACUCCCAUCACAUUAAAGAGGGAAGGCAGAGGCCACAGCCCCCCCCCCCACAUUAAAGAGGAAGACAAGACGCCACAGACCCAUACUGUUAAACUCACCCUUUACAUUUAAGGGCAAGCGGAGGAACCACUGAACUUACACAUCAAAAAUGAAGAGGAGAACCCGCUGACCCCUCACUUUAGAGAGGAAAAGGAGGACGCACUGAACCCCUACAUUAAAGAGGAAGAGGAGGACCAAGAGCUGCUGCACAUUAAAGAGGAAUAGGAGGAACACCGCAUCAGUCAGCCUAAAUGGUUGGAGGAGUUCCCAGUGACUGGUGUCCCUGUGAAGAGUGAAGAUGAUGAGGUCAAAGGUGAAGGUGAGGAAAAGAGAGAGGCGGAGCCUCCAAGCAGCAGCUCAACACAACACAUGACAACAGAAGCUGAUGGAGACCGCUGUGGAGGAUCACAAGCAGACAAGCUCUUAGUUCCACUAUCAGAUAGUGAGGACACAACGUCACACUCUCCUGACACUGAUGAUGAAGACUCUAAAGAUGAUAAGACAUGUCACACUGACAACACUCACUUCACAUGUUCUCACUGUGACAAAACCUUUAAAUACCAUUGUCGUCUGAAAAGACACAUGAGAAUACACACCGGAGAAAAACCUUUCAUCUGUUCAAUAUGUGGUAAGUGUUUUACAGUAAGUUAGAAAUUGAAAAGACACAUGAGAACACACACUGGAGAAAACCCUUUUCCUGUUCAACCUGUGGUAAAGGUUUUAAAGAAAGUCACAGUUUGAAAAGACACAUGAGCACACACACUGGUGAAAAUUCACAUUCCUGUUCAAUCUGCAACAGAAGCUUUUGUGACCGAUCAAAUCUUGUAGCACACAUGAAAAGACACACAGGAGAGAAAAUGUUGAGUUGCAGUGUGUGUGGUGAAAGAUUAUCUUCUAAGUACCAGUGUAAGAAACACAAGUGUGCUGGUGAGAACAGCAGCAGCAAAUGAAACUGCAGGAUUUGAAAUAAACUGUCAAGACUUUAAUUUUGACUUUCUAACAACAUCAGCAAAUAAAAUGUGUGUGACAUUGU